rnacentral:rRNA from 1 species
AAUAGAUACCCUGGUAGUCCACGCCGUAAACGAUGAGUGCUAAGUGUUAGAGGGUUUCCGCCCUUUAGUGCUGCAGCUAACGCAUUAAGCACUCCGCCUGGGGAGUACGGCCGCAAGGCUGAAACUCAAAGGAAUUGACGGGGGCCCGCACAAGCGGUGGAGCAUGUGGUUUAAUUCGAAGCAACGCGAAGAACCUUACCAGGUCUUGACAUCCUCUGCCAACCCUAGAGAUAGGGUGUUCCCCUUCGGGGGACAGAGUGACAGGUGGUGCAUGGUUGUCGUCAGCUCGUGUCGUGAGAUGUUGGGUUAAGUCCCGCAACGAGCGCAACCCUUGAUCUUAGUUGCCAGCAUUUAGUUGGGCACUCUAAGGUGACUGCCGGUGACAAACCGGAGGAAGGUGGGGAUGACGUCAAAUCAUCAUGCCCCCUUAUGACCUGGGCUACACACGUGCUACAAUGGAUGGUACAAAGGGCUGCGAACCCGCGAGGGUAAGCCAAUCUCAUAAAGCCAUUCUCAGUUCGGA